AACGAACGCUGGCGGCAGGCCUAACACAUGCAAGUCGAGCGCCCCGCAAGGGGAGCGGCAGACGGGUGAGUAACGCGUGGGAAUCUACCCAUCUCUACGGAAUAACGCAUGGAAACGUGUGCUAUACCGUAUACGUCCUUCGGGAGAAAGAUUUAUCGGAGAUGGAUGAGCCCGCGUUGGAUUAGCUAGUUGGUGGGGUAAAGGCCUACCAAGGCGACGAUCCAUAGCUGGUCUGAGAGGAUGAUCAGCCACACUGGGACUGAGACACGGCCCAGACUCCUACGGGAGGCAGCAGUGGGGAAUAUUGGACAAUGGGCGCAAGCCUGAUCCAGCCAUGCCGCGUGAGUGAUGAAGGCCCUAGGGUUGUAAAGCUCUUUCACCGGUGAAGAUAAUGACGGUAACCGGAGAAGAAGCCCCGGCUAACUUCGUGCCAGCCGCCGCGGUAAAAC
rnacentral:rRNA from 1 species